rnacentral:rRNA from 1 species
UACAGAGGGUGCGAGCGUUAAUCGGAAUUAUUGGGCGUAAAGCGCGCGUAGGCGGCUACUUAAGUCGGAUGUGAAAGCCCUUGGCUCAACUGAGGAAGUGCACCCGAAACUGAGUGGCUUGAGUACUAAAGAGGGUCGCGGAAUUCCCGGUGUAGAGGUGAAAUUCGUAGAUAUCGGGAGGAACACCGGUGGCGAAGGCGGCGACCUGGGUAGAUACUGACGCUGAGGCGCGAAAGCGUGGGGAGCAAACAGG